CGAAGAGUCGGGUUGUUUGGGAAUGCAGCUCAAAAUGGGUNGUAAAUUCCAUCUAAGGCUAAAUAUUGACGAGAGACCGAUAGCGAACAAGUAGAGUGAUCGAAAGAUGAAAAGUACUUUGAAAAGAGAGUGAAACAGUACGUGAAAUUGUUGAAAGGGAAGCGUUUGGCAUCAGCCCAUGGCUUUCGUCGAUCAUUCGGGCUUCUGCCCGAUGCACUCGACGGAUGUCGGGCCAGCGUCGGCUCUCCUUGCCGGAGAAAGGUCUUGGGGACGUGUCUCCCUUCGGGGUGAGUUAUAACCCUUGAUGUCAUACGGCGAGGUGGGGCCGAGGUCUGCGGUUUAUCCAAGGACGCUGGCGUAANGGUUCCAAGCGACC
rnacentral:rRNA from 1 species